AAAGUACUCCCUCCGUCCCUAAAUUCUUGUCUUAGAUUUGUCUAGAUACAGAUGUAUCAAGUCACAUUUUAGUAUUAGAUACAUCCAUAUCUAGACAAAUCUAAGACAAGAAAUUUGGGACAGAGGAAGUAGUUG
rnacentral:pre_miRNA from 1 species